rnacentral:rRNA from 1 species
CAAAGGAAUUGACGGGGGCCCGCACAAGCGGAGGAACAUGUGGUUUAAUUCGAUGAUACGCGAGGAACCUUACCCGGGCUUGAAAUGCAUCUGACAGGAGCAGAGACGCUCUCUCCCUUCGGGGCAGAUGUGUAGGUGCUGCAUGGUUGUCGUCAGCUCGUGCCGUGAGGUGUCGGCUUAAGUGCCAUAACGAGCGCAACCCUCAUCAUUAGUUACCAUCAGGUUAAGCUGGGGACUCUAAUGAGACUGCCAUCGUAAGAUGUGAGGAAGGUGGGGAUGACGUCAAAUCAGC